rnacentral:rRNA from 1 species
AUGUUUCUGGUGGAUUGGUUCUACGGGGUGCUGGCGUCGCUGGGGCUGUGGCAGAAGGAGGCCAAGAUCCUCUUCCUCGGCCUGGACAACGCCGGCAAGACCACCCUCCUCCACAUGCUCAAGGACGAGCGGCUGGUGCAGCACCAGCCGACGCAGUACCCGACGUCCGAGGAGCUGAGCAUCGGCCAGAUCAAGUUCAAGACCUUCGAUCUCGGUGGCCACCAGAUCGCCCGCCGAGUCUGGAAGGACUACUACGCCAAGGUGGAUGCGGUUGUUUACUUGGUGGACGCUGCUGACAAGGAACGGUUUGCCGAGUCGAAGAAGGAGCUCGACGGCCUUCUUUCAGAUGACUCCCUUGCGAAUGUGCCUUUCCUCGUACUGGGUAACAAGAUCGACAUACCUAUCGCAGCAUCCGAGGAGGAGCUGCGCUACUACCUUGGGCUGAGCAACUUCACCACUGGGAAGGGCAACGUGAACUUGUCGGAUUCAAAUGUGCGGCCCCUGGAGGUGUUCAUGUGCAGCAUCGUCCGCAAGAUGGGCUAUGGUGAAGGUUUCAAAUGGAUGUCCCAGUACAUCAAGUGA